UACAGGGGGUGCAAACGUUGCUCGGAAUCAUUGGGCGUAAAGCGCACGUAGGCGGUUCGUUAUGUCGGAUGUGAAAGCCCUUGGCUUAACCGAGGAAGUGCAUCCGAAACUGGCGAGCUAGAGUACUAAAGAGGAUCGCGGAAUUCCCGGUGUAGAGGUGAAAUUCGUAGAUAUCGGGAGGAACACCGGUGGCGAAGGCGGCUCACUGGCCCGGUACUGACGCUGAGGUGCGAAAGCGUGGGGAGCAAACAGG
rnacentral:rRNA from 1 species